CCUACGGGUGGCAGCAGUCGAGAAUCAUUCACAAUGGGGGAAACCCUGAUGGUGCGACGCCGCGUGGGGGAAUGAAGGUCUUCGGAUUGUAAACCCCUGUCAUGUGGGAGCAAAUUAAAAAGAUAGUACCACAAGAGGAAGAGACGGCUAACUCUGUGCCAGCAGCCGCGGUAAUACAGAGGUCUCAAGCGUGGUUCGGAAUCACUGGGCGUAAAGCGUGCGUAGGCUGUUUCGUAAGUCGUGUGUGAAAGGCGCGGGCUCAACCCGCGGACGGCACAUGAUACUGCGAGACUAGAGUGAUGGAGGGGGAACCGGAAUUCUCGGUGUAGCAGUGAAAUGCGUAGAUAUCGAGAGGAACACUCGUGGCGAAGGCGGGUUCCUGGACAUUAACUGACGCUGAGGCACGAAGGCCAGGGGAGCGAAAGGGAUUAGAUACCCGUGUAGUC
rnacentral:rRNA from 1 species